CCUACGGGUGGCAGCAGUAGGGAAUUUUCGUCAAUGGGCGCAAGCCUGAACGAGCAAUGCCGCGUGAACGAGGAAGGUCUUCUGAUCGUAAAGUUCUGUUGAUGGGGAAAAAGAGCGGAGAGAGGAAAUGGUCUCCUAUUGAUCUUACCCUUCGAGGAAGUCACGGCUAACUACGUGCCAGCAGCCGCGGUAAUACGUAGGUGGCGAGCGUUAUCCGGAUUGAUUGGGCGUAAGGGGUGCGUAGGGGGUCUGCUAAGUCUGGAGUGAAAGGUACCGGCUCAACCGGUACAGGCUCUGGAAACUGGCGGGCUAGAGAGCAGGAGAGGGCGGUGGAACUCCAUGUGUAGCGGUAAAAUGCGUAGAUAUAUGGAAGAACACCAGUGGCGAAGGCGGCCGACUGGACUGUUACUGACGCUGAGGCACGAAAGCGUGGGGAGCAAAUAGGAUUAGAUACCCGAGUAGUC
rnacentral:rRNA from 1 species